UACGAAGGAUGCAAGCGUUAUCCGGAUUUAUUGGGUUUAAAGGGAGCGUAGGCGGUCUUAUAAGUCAGUGGUGAAAUCCUAUCGCUUAACGAUAGACGUGCCAUUGAUACUGUAGGACUUGAGUACAGAUGCCGUUGGCGGAAUGUGUCAUGUAGCGGUGAAAUGCAUAGAUAUGACACAGAACACCGAUUGCGAAGGCAGCUGACGAAACUGUAACUGACGCUGAGGCUCGAAAGCGUGGGGAGUCAAACAGGA
rnacentral:rRNA from 1 species